GCGCCCUUCGGGGCGAGCGGCGGACGGAUUAUUAACGAGGCCCAUUGUACCCAGAUCUACGGAAUAGCCUCGGGAAACUGAGAGUAAUACCGUAUACGCCCUUCGGGGGAAAGAUUUAUCGGAUUUGGAUCAGCCCGCGUUAGAUUAGAUAGUUGGUGGGGUAAUGGCCUACCAAGUCUACGAUCUAUAGCUGGUUUUAGAGGAUGAUCAGCAACACUGGGACUGAGACACGGCCCAGACUCCUACGGGAGGCAGCAGUGGGGAAUCUUAGACAAUGGGCGCAAGCCUGAUCUAGCCAUGCCGCGUGUGUGAUGAAGGCCUUAGGGUCGUAAAGCAGUUUCGCCAGAGAUGAUAAUGACAGUAUCUGGUAAAGAAACCCCGGCUAACUCCGUGCCACCGCCCGCGGUAAUACGGAGGGGGUU
rnacentral:rRNA from 1 species